UGGGGAAUAUUGCACAAUGGGCGCAAGCCUGAUGCAGCCAUGCCGCGUGUGUGAAGAAGGCCUUCGGGUUGUAAAGCACUUUCAGCGAGGAGGAAGGUGGUGAACUUAAUACGUUCAUCAAUUGACGUUACUCGCAGAAGAAGCACCGGCUAACUCCGUGCCAGCAGCCGCGGUAAUACGGAGGGUGCAAGCGUUAAUCGGAAUUACUGGGCGUAAAGCGCACGCAGGCGGUUUGUUAAGUCAGAUGUGAAAUCCCCGGGCUCAACCUGGGAACUGCAUUUGAAAACUGGCAAGCUAGAGUCUCGUAGAGGGGGGUAGAAAUUCCAGGUGUAGCGGUGAAAUGCGUAGAGAUCUGGAGGAAUACCGGUGGCGAAGGCGGCCCCCUGGACGAAGACUGACGCUCAGGUGCGAAAAGCGUGGGGAGCAAAACAGGAUUAGAUACCCUGGUAGUCCACGCUGUAAAACGAUGUCGAUUUUGGAGGUUGUGCCUUUGAGGCGUGGCUUCCGGAGCUAACGCGUUAAAUCGACCGCCUGGGGAGUACGGCCGCAAGGUU
rnacentral:rRNA from 1 species